GACUGUUAGUCGGGGAGCCUUGUGCUGAGACCACUCUGUGGGACCCGUUGAACCUGAUCCAUUUAGCAAUGGCGUAGGGAACUAGCUGAAUAUCAGA
rnacentral:ncRNA from 1 species